rnacentral:rRNA from 1 species
GAUGAACGCUGGCGGCGUGCUUAAUCCAUGCAAGUCGAACGAACCGGGGCAACCUGGUUAGUGGCGGACGGGUGCGUAACACGUGGGUGACCUACCCUGAAGUGGGGAAUAACUGUCCGAAAGGGCAGCUAAUACCGCAUGUGGUCUGGCAGCAGAUGUCAGAUUAAAGGCGCAAGUCGCUUCAGGAGGGGCCCGCGGCCUAUCAGCUAGUUGGUGGGGUAAGAGCCUACCAAGGCGAAGACGGGUAGCUGGUCUGAGAGGAUGAUCAGCCACACUGGCACUGAAAUACGGGCCAGACUCCUACGGGAGGCAGCAGGAAGGAAUUUUGGACAAUGGGGGAAACCCUGAUCCAGCAACGCCGCGUGGGCGAUGAAGGUCUUCGGAUCGUAAAGCCCUUUUCUGUGGGAAGAGGCAGGACGGUACCACAGGAAUAAGUCUCGGCUAACUACGUGCCAGCAGCCGCGGUAAAACGUAGGAGGCAAGCGUUAUCCGGAUUUACUGGGCGUAAAGCGCAUGCAGGCGGCCGUGCAAGUUGGGCGUGAAAUCUCUCGGCUUAACCGGGAGGGGUCGUCCAAUACUGCGGGGCUUGGGUGCAGGAGAGGGAAGCGGAAUUUCCAGUGUAGCGGUAAUAUGCGCAGAUAUUGGAAAGAACACCAGUGGCGAAGGCGGCUUCCUGGUCUGUAACCGACGCUAAGAUGCGAAAGCUAGGGGAGCGAACGGGAUUAGAUACCCCGGUAGUCCUAGCUGUAAACGAUGGAUACUAGGUGUGAGUGGUAUUGACCCCACUUGUGCCGAAGCUAACGCGUUAAGUAUCCCGCCUGGGGACUACGACCGCAAGGUUA